GACGUAGGUGGCAAGCGUUGUUCGGAAUUACUGGGCGUAAAGCGCGCGUAGGCGGACCUGCAAGUCGGGGGUGAAAGCCCGAGGCUCAACCUCGGAACUGCCUUCGAUACUGCGGGUCUCGAGUCCGGGAGAGGUGAGUGGAAUUCCUAGUGUAGAGGUGAAAUUCGUAGAUAUUAGGAAGAACACCAGUGGCGAAGGCGGCUCACUGGCCCGGUACUGACGCUGAGGCGCGAAAGCGUGGGGAGCAAACAGG
rnacentral:rRNA from 1 species